UUUAUACCGUAGCUUGCUACACCAUAGACUGUGAGUUGCGAACGGGUGAGUAACGCGUAGGUAACCUGCCUGGUASCGGGGGAUAACUAUUGGAAACGAUAGCUAAUACCGCAUAAUAUUGAUUAUUGCAUGAUAAUUAAUUGAAAGGUGCAAUUGCACCACUACCAGAUGGACCUGCGUUGUAUUAGCUAGUAGGUGAGGUAACGGCUCACCUAGGCGACGAUACAUAGCCGACCUGAGAGGGUGAUCGGCCACACUGGGACUGAGACACGGCCCAGACUCCUACGGGAGGCAGCAGUAGGGAAUCUUCGGCAAUGGACGAAAGUCUGACCGAGCAACGCCGCGUGAGUGAAGAAGGUUUUCGGAUCGUAAAGCUCUGUUGUAAGAGAAGAACGGGUGUGAGAGUGGAAAGUUCACACUGUGACGGUAUCUUACCAGAAAGGGACGGCUAACUACGUGCCAGCAGCCGCGGUAAUACGUAGGUCCCGAGCGUUGUCCGGAUUUAUUGGGCGUAAAGCGAGCGCAGGCGGUUAGAUAAGUCUGAAGUUAAAGGCUGUGGCUUAACCAUAGUACGCUUUGGAAACUGUUUAACUUGAGUGCAGAAGGGGAGAGUGGAAUUCCAUGUGUAGCGGU
rnacentral:rRNA from 1 species